rnacentral:rRNA from 1 species
UGCGUAGGUGGUAUGGCAAGUCAGAAGUGAAAACCCAGGGCUUAACUCUGGGACUGCUUUUGAAACUGUCAGACUGGAGUGCAGGAGGGGUAAGCGGAAUUCCUAGUGUAGCGGUGAAAUGCGUAGAUAUUAGGAGGAACAUCAGUGGCGAAGGCGGCUUACUGGACUGAAACUGACACUGAGGCACGAAAGCGUGGGGAGCAAACA